rnacentral:rRNA from 1 species
UUGAAGUUGCUGCAGUUAAAAAGCUCGUAGUUGAAUAUCCGGCGUCUCUGACGUCUGCCCGACUCGGCUGUAGAUGUUGAGAAACUUUUACUGUUCGAUCAGGCGUUUACUGUGAACAAAUUAGAGUGCUCAAAACAGGCUUUUGCUUGAAUUUUUUAGCAUGGAAUAAUAAAAUACGACUUCGCUCAUUUUAUUGGUUCUUGAACGAAGUAAUGGUUAACAGGAACAGUUGGGGGCAUUCGUACUUAAAAGUCAGAGGUGAAAUUCUUAGAUUUUUUAAAGACGAACUAAUGCGGAGGCAUUUGCCAAGGAUGUUUUCAUUAAUCAAGAACGAAAGCGUUGGGAUCAAAAAGGAUCAGAUACCCUUGUAGUCAACGCCGUAAACGAUACUGACUAGGGAUUGGUGAGGCGAACCCUCAUCAGCACCUAAUGAGAAAUCAAAGUCUUUGAGUUCUGGGGAGAGUAUGGUCGCAAGGCUGAAACUUAAAGGAAUUGACGGAAAGAUACACAAGUCGUGGAUUCUGCGGCUUAAUUUGAUUCAACACGGGAAAACUUACGCAGGCAAAAAGCUAGUAGGAUUGACAGCUUGAUAGCACUUUCUUGAUUUGGCAGCGAGUGGUGCAUGGCCGUUCUUA